AUUAAAUUUCUUAAGGACACAGUAGUUUCUGUGGACUCGGAUUAAUUCUUGUAUUCUAUAUUCUGCUUCAUCUUAUUUCUGUUUCUGUUUCUGUUUAUUAACUUUAUAAAUACAAGUUAUUUUAAGAAUAACAGGAAGCGAGUGAAAAUCUUUGGAAGACAAGCUUGGGAAUCGACUCUCUCAAGACUAAGUAUGUCCUUAUAUAUUCGAGGGCAUAGCAUAUGUUUUCUUUAGUUCUUCUUUGAGAUUUGUAAAGACUUUUAAGUAUUUCUUUUAAUGUAAAAGGUCGUGCCCCUAUGAUAUUAUGUCAUGUCUUUAAGUUGGCUUGUGAGGAUGAGACUUAAUCCUUAGUUUUUACAAAAGAUGUUUCUUAUUAUCAUUGUCGUAAAAAGUUUUAAUUCCACACUAUUUUUCAUGUCUUAUGUAAUGAAGGACAACUAAGAGGCUUGUGUAAGACCUCCGUGAGGUCGAGCGCACAGUGUUCCGACCUAAAAGUCUCCCUUACUUCUAGGGUGUACUUGCGGAUUGUAACAAUGCUUUGGUUGUUUAUGAUUUGUUUCAAAUUUAUCAUCUCAUAGAACAAAGUUUGAUCCAAGAGCUUUGCCUUGUGUGUUUUUGGGGUAUCCUUAUGGGAAAAAGGGGUACAAAGUCAUGAACCUUAAAAAAAAGAAAAACUUUUGUUUCAAGAGAUAUCAUUUUUUAUGAGGAAUAUUUUCCUUAUUUAUCUGAUAUGUCUCAUAUUUCUCACAAAUUAUUUCCAGUUCCCACCUCAGAUUGUUUCUUACUUUUCUUUAUUCAAUCCUGAACCUAAAUCUGUAAUUUCAAGUGUUCCUGAUACAAUGCCUCCUGUUUCUAGUAAUACUCCUACUCCUUUUUCCUCGUACGAUUGCAAUCCCAAUCACUCUCCAAGAAGUCCUUCUCCUGUUUCUCCAUAUCAUAGUCUGAUUAUUGAUACUUUUAUCAGGGAGUCUUCUAUGAAUACCAAGACUCCUUCCUAUCUGAAAGAUUAUGUUUGCAAUGCUUUACAACUCACAAUUUCAGUUCCUUUUGUUUCCUUAGUCCUGUCUUUUUCUUUCACAAACGUAUCCCCCACUGAUCAGGUAUGCUCAACUAUGUCUCUAAUAUUCAUGAACCUGUUAGCUAUGAAUAGGCAAUGCUUGAUCCUUCUUGGAAAGACGCCACGAGACAAGAAUUAGCUGCUUUUGAGUUAAACAAGACAUGGGUAUUGUUCUUCUACCUCAUGGAAAGAAGUAUUUGCCUUGUAAAUGGGUUAAUAAAGUGAAACAACAUUCAGAUGGGAGUAUUGAGCGAUUUAAGGUGAGGUUAGUCAUUAGAGGAGAUAUACAGAAGGAAAGAGUGGACUACAAUGAGACUUUUUCAACAGUGUUGAAAAUGACCACUGUUUGAUGUACUUUGGCCAUUGCAGUAAAGAGAGGAUGGGGUUUAUUUCAUUUAGAAGUGAAUAACACAUUUCUACAUAGGGAUCUCAAUGAGCAAGUUUACAUGAAAUCUCCUAUUGGUGUUUCUCCUCCUUCUCCUAAUCAUGUUUGUUUAUUGAAGAAGUCCAUUUAUGGACUUAAACAGGCAUCUCGACAAUGGUACUCUAAACUCACUGCAGCCCUCAAUUUUAAAGCUUGCAGAUCUGUUUACUGAAUCUCUCACUGGACCUACUCGUCAUUCUCUCCUUCACAAGUUGGGCGUCUCCUCCCCUCCAACUUGAGGGGUGUGUGUGUGUUGGAUUUCAUACACAAUCUUCUGAUGGCUACUAAUUAAAGAGACAAGAUAAGACAAAGGAAAGAACACAUAAAUGAGAGUUGCCAUAUUUGAAAGAAAUGUUCUUAGGGUAUCUGCAGUUAGGCCUCAGAUGUGUUUUGGGUUUAUCUGAACGUAUGGGCUUUGGAAUAAUAAGCCUCAUUCUAGAAACUUAAUUGUCACUUAUUUUCUGUAUUUAUUUAUCUCUUAGUUUGUUAUAGGUAAAACAAUGAGACAUAGCCACUUGUAAAGUUAGUUAGCAAUAUGCUUGUAUGAAUAUAGUGUAAUUGUACAGAGUUGAUCAUCAAUAAAACUUCAAGGAAUUUUCUAUA